CCCCGGAAUUCUCACGAUCACGUUUGGACGCCCACAAGGAAGGAGUACCCCUGGCCUUUCCCCGGCCUUUCCCCGGGAAAGGCUCCCACGAGUGCAGACGUCGGGGAGGAAACCCUCGCUCGUUCUGUCUCGCACUCGUGAACGACUGGCGGCGGCGGCGACUGGAAAACCUCCUCCGUCCACCGCUCUGGUCUGCCUCCGUCCACCGCUCCUGCCUCCUCCGACCGGCGACUGCGACGCCCCCUGCCCUCCUCCCUUCGACGCUCUGCCCCUCCGGAUGGGGUGACGGGGCCGGGGUCGCCAUCCUACUACUUCCCGGAUCUCGUCUCCGCCCCCAAGAUCUUCACCUUCCGAUGACGACGACGGCCAGGAGAUCAUGCUCCUCUUCGUCCAAGAUCCAAGAGCCCUCUCUCCUGUUUGAGUUUUGUAUCACAAGAACCAAUACGAAAGAACAUCCAUCGUUUGCAGUAGUGUUUCUACCUAACUAUCAUGGCCUCACAACAAAGCCAAUUGAUAGUAUUAUCGAUGCAGUGCUGUUAAGUCAUCAAUUACUAAUAUACUGUUAGAAAAUGGCCUUUACUGAUUGAAGGAGAAAAUUGCUACCAAGGAGAAAACAUAAGGUAUGUAAUUUUGAAGUACCAAUUUAGAGGUGCAGUUUUAUGUUUUCUUCCAUUGGGCAUUUUACAAUUUGUUCAUGAAUUUGCACAUGCUAACUAUAAGUAGAUGAAUAUCUUGUGGAGAAAACAGAGGGUGUAUACAAAUGAGUUCAUGCUCUUGUCAGUUUUUCUUUGUGGAAUUACCAUGUCGGCGCUGGUGGCAUUGAACGUGUCGACGAUGGGGGCAAUGCCAUCCUUGACGAUUCAGUUCAGGAUCCCCCACUUGGCGGCGUCCUUGGCGCUGUAGCUCUCUUUCGGGUUCAGCCCGCAGCCGACGGAGACGACCAUGAACUUGCCGUAUGUUGGAAUAAACCCAAGUCCGCACCUAGUAUAUUUCUCUGCCAUGGUAGGCACUUCUGUUUUGCUGCCAUGCAGCGUUUUUAGCUAGUGUCUAGUUUUCAGUUUCAGUCUUUCUUCAGUCAAUCUAUUAGCAAGUUUAGCUAGAGUAGGUAGUCGCCAGGAGCGAUUCUGGCGUCCACUCUGAUCGCUUGUGGGAUGGAAUUUUUUCCAGUUGUAGCUCAUUUUUCAUUAGCUGAUACCUUCAGUUAUCGUAUACCAAUGUCCUUCUCUGAGCCCGUUUUUCAGUUGCAGCUUUGAAUAAAUUCAGUGAAUUUAGUUUCAUGACGAGAUUAUACAAAGCGAAGCAGUUGGUUAGUAGUAAUCCUUUAAACAUAAUACAAUAUCGAGGAGAAAAGCUGUGACGAGCUUGUCAUUAGUGCCAUCCGGUGCAUAUUAUUCUGAACAUUAUACAAUAUUACAAUUGGAAUAUUUUUUAUACAAUCGAAAAGCUCAAAAGGCUAUUUUCAAACUAGUUUCAGUCUAACAUUCGUUUCUUGCGAAAUGAUGGCUUUCAUGCCGUGGUCAUCUAGGAAUUAAAGAGAACAAUAUUAUACAUAUAAGAACACAAAUAGGUGUGUGCUUAUUACGUUUGCAUCUAUUUCAUUGGGAACAUGGAUAUAAAUAAAUAUAUGUGCUUAUAUAUAGUUUAAAAUUUAUAUUGUAUAGUGACUACGUUGUUGUUUUUUGCU